rnacentral:lncRNA from 1 species
GAGCGGGCGCUGGAAGGCCGGGCACGUAACAGGGACGUGCGACUAUAGUGUGUUUAAAAAAAAAAAAAAAACUACAAACCCAAAAAAACAAAGCAGGGGGCCCGCGGCUGCAGCCUUCCGCGCACGUGCGUAGGUGCGCGCUUGGGGACCUGGUGUCUUUGGGGAUGCCUUGCUCAGGUUCAAGGCCAGGGCUCAAACUGCUUCGAGGGUGGUGUUCUGCAGAGGCGAGAUCGGUGCCAGCACAGUGGCGAUCGUUUGGAGUGGCGUGAUGGCUGGAAAACAAGUUACUACUGGCCCAGUGCUUUCCUCGCCAGUGUUUUCACCGAGAGCAAAUUCGUUUCAACAGCAGCCAGUCUCAAGCACGUGUAAAGUGCAUGGUCUUGUCUGUGUGUAACAGAUUGCAGAACUGCAGAAUUAGGCCUUUGACUUUUGGCUUCUCAUCAGGAGUAAUGAGGCGGAAAGGGAAAUGCUUAGAAUAAACUCUUAACAUUGAAAUCCGAAAGUUCUGGAGUAGAAAAAGUUAUCUUCUGUGUCGUGCUGCCAGGUUAUAACAUGGUUAGCACGCACGAGAGAUUAGUGGUGGGGGUAGGUACUUUAUCUUAAAAUUGUGGUUUGAAGUGACAGGUGCUUUUCCUUGUGUUUCUUUAGUAAGGGACUAUGAAAGGCCCCCGUUUUGUGUGUGUGUUUUGCUUUUAUUUGUGAAUGCCUGUACUGUGGUGUAGCAAUGUUCACCUUGUUCAUGAAUACGCUAUUAAACUUUGGCAAGAUGCUUUCCUUAAUAAUACUGCUACUGUUGACAAGAUAGUUUUCUGCUAAGGUUCCAUCUGCGAGGUCCACUUAGUUUCAAAUGGAUUGCUGAAAUGUGACUUUUUUAGUUCAAGUGAAGGUGCUUGCCAGGGGAGGGACACUUAUCAACUCUUCUGCCAAACAUCUGGAUUCAAGAGUGGAGGAAGGGGGAGGUGAUGGUCUCAGGAAUCAGACAACUGAGCUGGUUCCACUUGAUGGUUGGUGAUACUGUGUUGAUGGUCUUUGCCUUCUGUUGCCUGAAAACCUCUGUACUGACUGUGUUCUGGUGGUAUUUGUUCUGGUGGUUAGUAUUUGUGUCUAGUCAAUGACUUGGGUCAGAAUUUACUCAAAAGUCGAGAGUCAGGAUUUCUUUCUUUUCCUUUUUUUUUUUUUUUUUCUUCUUUUUUUGGUUUUUCGAGACAAGGUUUCUCUGUAGCUUUGGUGUCCUGGAACUCACUCUGUGGAUCAGGCUGGCUUUGAAAUCAGAGAGUUCCUCGUUCUUCUGUCUCCCAAGUUCUGGGAUUAAAGAUUCCAGCCAUUACUUCCCAGCAGGAGUCAGAAUUUCUAAAGGCAGCAGCAGUGGGGUAUAUAGAAUUGGCCUUUCCCAGUUCUCUUCACAGGCCCUGAGCCUUACUGCAGACAGCUUACCUGAAUCCUAGUCAUCCUGAAGUAUAACAAGUACCUACAUGGUUGUACUGAGCAUACAUGGUUGUACUGAGCAGUUGGAAUUUCAGGAAUUGGAAGUCAGUUUGGAAUCAGGAUUACUUUAUAGACCGGUUAGUUCAACUGUGCCUGGAUAUAUCUUUGUUUCCUAGUUCCUUCCUCUCACUAUGGUAAAUGUACCGUUGUGGCCUUGCCAAGUGACUGACUCUCCUUUUCUCGCUCCGGCUACCGGUGCCUGUCACUCACUGCCUGUCACUGUGCUUGGUUUCAGGGUCAGUGAAUGCUUGUGAAAAGACCUCGUUUAUGUUUCUGCGACAAGAGUUGCCUGUUAGAUUGGC